rnacentral:rRNA from 1 species
UACAGAGGUCCCAAGCGUUGUUCGGAUUCACUGGGCGUAAAGGGUGCGUAGGCGGCCAAGUAAGUUUGAUGUGAAAUCCCGCAGCUCAACUGCGGAACUGCAUUGAAUACUAUUUGGCUCGAGGAAUGGAGGGGAGACUGGAAUUCUCGGUGUAGCAGUGAAAUGCGUAGAUAUCGGGAGGAACACCAGUGGCGAAGGCGGCGACCUGGGCCAAUAUUGACGCUGAGGUGCGAAAGCGUGGGGAGCAAACAGG